rnacentral:misc_RNA from 1 species
GCUAAGAAAGUGAAGAAAAUGAAAAAGACGAAGAAUGAAAUUGAGAUCAGGAUUGCAAUGACCAAUGCGCACUCUUUCACCUAUAUCUAUACAUAUAAAACAAUGAAUUGUUCGUACAACUACCAGAAAGAUUGGAGGAUUCAGUGAAAUAUUUGAAAAUUGGUGAGAUUUCAGUGCCUAUGGAAAGUGACCAGAGAAUCAUAUAAAGCAAAGUGUGAAGGAUGGAUCUAAUCUAAAAGACAGAAACAUUAAAACGAUUGAAAUAGAAAUUUGAAGACAGAGAUGGAAUUGAGAAAGA